GUGUCCUUUCGUGGAUGGUGGUGGGGUACCGCCCGUAUAUUGAGAACUACACAGUGGACGCGAGCAUCUUAGAUUCACCGGUUUUCCGGUGGAUCACAAAGAUCUAUUUAUAGAUCAUUGCUCAAUUCUGUCUCCUCUAGGGGAGGCGAAACGAUUCAAUCUCAUGUGAUUUCAAGAUUCUAAGAGCAAACGGUGGAUGCCUUGGCAUCUGGAGCCGAAGAAGGACGUAUAAAUGUGCGAUAAGCCUCGGGGAGCUGAUAAUAGAGCUGUGAUCCGAGGAUCUCCGAAUGGGGAAACCCCGCCAGGCCCUUUGGGUGACCUGGUGUCUCCCGCCUGAAUAUAUAGGGCGGGUAGAGGGAACGUGGGGAAGUGAA
rnacentral:misc_RNA from 1 species